rnacentral:lncRNA from 10 species
ACAAGUAAAAUCUGAUGUAGAUCUGCAUAAAUGAGAAACAGCCACAUGGGUUGACCUGCGAUCACGAUGACAGCGUGGACAGACUACAUAGUCUCAGCAAGAGGCUCCUGCAAUGGCACAAGCAAAAGGUGUGAGAAUAGGAUGAAGUAGAGGAUAUGUACAAACCAAAGGUUCACAGCAUUUAGUCUGGUGGGACUGGACAUGCAGUAAAAUGGAGAAGAAAGAGUCUGGCCUGAUUCCCAGGCUGGUCAUCUGAAUCAGUGACUAAAUGGGUGAGUGGUGCAAUUAACAGGGAUGAAAAAUACACUUAGAAAAUCCUUUUUUUCUCCUCUACUCAUUAGUGUUAAUAUUUACUUUAUCCCACUACCACCCCUUUUUUCACUUCAAUCUCUUCAAUAAAAUUAAAAACAUAGCUAUUCCACUUUCCACAUCAACUGUCUGGGUAAUAUUUGGAUUUUCUAUGAUUUCAGAAUAGGUUUAUAAGUCUAUUUGUUUUGGGUUUUUAAAACAUGGUCAUCACAGCCGGGCGCGGUGGCUCACGCCUGU